AGGGAUGGUCAUUCAGCGGAAUUUGACGUCAAAGGCACUUAGUUAUUUCUAUAAAUUGUCCAAGGUUCAUUCAGAUGUUAGAAGAAGGACAGAGUGCGCUGAAGUUGCCCCAAUUUGGCACUAGUUACUUUUUAUUUCAGCCACUAGGAGGAAGCAGUGCGUGACUUUUAAUCCUGGAAACCACGUGAUCUUCCGCUGAAACGCCAAGGAUCAAUCAAUAGGUCCAUGGGAUCAACCUUGGGAUGAACACCUCAACAGUAUCUUGUUUUUAAUGUGACCAAAGAGCUGCUUUAAUGUCGUAAAUCGUCACUGAAUGCCGCAUUGGAGUUCCACUGAGCACUGACCCUGCAAAGGCAUCAGCCUGACUGUUAGAGAGGAAAUCCUCCGGGGUAGGGGUGGUCACCCCGUCCCCAGGUAUACUGUCAGAACAGCAACAUGCCCUGGCAAGGAAGGCAAGAGAAUCAAUGGACUGCAGCUCAUCACCAUCUGUGGCCGAGGCAGCAAUCGUCAGCUUGAAACCAGAUGGUGCGCCGGGAGCACAAAAGACUGACAGCUGUCAUUCAUGAGAGCAGAGACUCUGAACCACUGCAGUGAACUGAACCUGAACUGGUUUACUGACUGAAAGUUAUGCAAGAAAGAGUUGCAAAACACUGGAAAAGCAUCCACAUGCAGAUUUAUAACUUUUUCUUCAUAGUAGUCUCUAUAUAAUGAAGGUGUGCUUGUGAAUACUGAUAAUUAAAGCCUUUAAUUCAGUGUGAAUACAAUUCAUCUGUGUGUGAGGUGUCUAAAAAUGUAAAGCUGACGAAAUUUGUGAGGACAAGUCAAGGUAAUUUUGUCAUGAUUCAAUACAAAUAAACAUUCCUAGUGAUAUAAACUUGA